rnacentral:rRNA from 1 species
AGUGGACGCUGGCGGUAGGCCUAACACAUGCAAGUCGAACGGCAGCACAGUAAGAGCUUGCUCUUACGGGUGGCGAGUGGCGGACGGGUGAGGAAUACAUCGGAAUCUACUUUUUCGUGGGGGAUAACGUAGGGAAACUUACGCUAAUACCGCAUACGACCUACGGGUGAAAGCAGGGGAUCUUCGGACCUUGCGCGAUUGAAUGAGCCGAUGUCGGAUUAGCUAGUUGGCGGGGUAAAGGCCCACCAAGGCGACGAUCCGUAGCUGGUCUGAGAGGAUGAUCAGCCACACUGGAACUGAGACACGGUCCAGACUCCUACGGGAGGCAGCAGUGGGGAAUAUUGGACAAUGGGCGCAAGCCUGAUCCAGCCAUACCGCGUGGGUGAAGAAGGCCUUCGGGUUGUAAAGCCCUUUUGUUAGGAAAGAAAAGCAGCAGGUUAAUACCCCGCUGUUCUGACGGUACCCAAAGAAUAAGCACCGGCUAACUUCGUG